rnacentral:rRNA from 1 species
UAAUACGGAGGGGGCAAGCGUUAUUCGGAAUCAUUGGGCGUAAAGGGCGCGUAGGCGGCUUGGCAAGUCAAAGGUGAAAUCCCUCGGCCCAACCGAGGAACCGCCUUUGAAACUGCUUCGCUUGAGGCCGGGAGAGGGUAGCGGAAUUCCCAGUGUAGCGGUGAAAUGCGUAGAUAUUGGGAGGAACACCAGUGGCGAAGGCGGCUACCUGGACCGGUUCUGACGCUGAGGCGCGAAAGCGUGGGGAGCAAACAGG